AACGAACGCUGGCGGCAUGCCUAACACAUGCAAGUCGAACGAGGCCUUCGGGUCUAGUGGCGCACGGGUGCGUCACGCGUGGGAACCUGCCCUUAGGUUCGGAAUAACUCCCCGAAAGGGGUGCUAAUACCGGAUAAUGUCUUCGGACCAAAGAGUUAUCGCCUUUGGAUGGGCCCGCGUUGGAUUAGCUAGUUGGUAGGGUAAAAGCCUACCAAGGCGACGAUCCAUAGCUGGUCUGAGAGGAUGAUCAGCCACACUGGGACUGAGACACGGCCCAGACUCCUACGGGAGGCAGCAGUGGGGAAUAUUGGACAAUGGGCGAAAGCCUGAUCCAGCAAUGCCGCGUGAGUGAUGAAGGCCUUAGGGUUGUAAAGCUCUUUUACCCGGGAUGAUAAUGACAGUACCGGGAGAAUAAGCUCCGGCUAACUCCGUG
rnacentral:rRNA from 1 species